CAUGCCGCGUGCAGGAUGACGGUCCUAUGGAUUGUAAACUGCUUUUGUACAGGAAGAAACACUCCCUCGUGAGGGAGCUUGACGGUACUGUAAGAAUAAGGAUCGGCUAACUCCGUGCCAGCAGCCGCGGUAAUACGGAGGAUCCAAGCGUUAUCCGGAAUCAUUGGGUUUAAAGGGUCCGUAGGCGGGUUUAUAAGUCAGUGGUGAAAGCCCAUCGCUCAACGAUGGAACGGCCAUUGAUACUGUAGAUCUUGAAUUAUUAGGAAGUAACUAGAAUAUGUAGUGUAGCGGUGAAAUGCUUAGAGAUUACAUGGAAUACCAAUUGCGAAGGCAGGUUACUACUAAUGGAUUGACGCUGAUGGACGAAAGCGUGGGUAGCGAACAGGAUUAGAUACCCUGGUAGUCCACGCCGUAAACGAUGGAUACUAGCUGUUCGGAGCAAUCUGAGUGGCUAAGCGAAAGUGAUAAGUAUCCCACCUGGGGAGUACGUUCGCAAGAAUGAAACUCAAAGGAAUUGACGGGGGCCCGCACAAGCGGUGGAGCAUGUGGUUUAAUUCGAUGAUACGCGAGGAACCUUACCAAGGCUUAAAUGUAGAUUGACAGGUUUGGAAACAGACUUUUCUUC
rnacentral:rRNA from 1 species